GACAGAGGUGCCGAGCGUUAGGCGGAAUCACUGGGCUUAAAGCGUGUGUAGGCGGGCGGGCAAGUACCUUGUGAAAUCCCACGGCUCAACCGUGGAACUGCUGGGUAUACUGCCUGUCUUGAGCCAGCCAGGGGCAGUCGGAACAGACGGUGGAGCGGUGAAAUGCGUAGAUAUCGUCUGGAACGCCAAAGGUGAAAACAGACUGCUGGGGCUGUGCUGACGCUGAGACACGAAAGCCAGGGGAGCGAGCGGG
rnacentral:rRNA from 1 species